ACGCACAGUGAACACCCAUGGGUGCUUGUGUAGCUCUCCUUGGCCUAUUUAACUGUGCUAUAGUAAUGUGUGGUCUGUUACCUCUGCAUUAGAAGAGUUCUCUUCCUUCUACAUGUAUUCAUCGGACUAGCACAUUC